rnacentral:rRNA from 1 species
UUGAACGCUGGCGGAAUGCUUUACACAUGCAAGUCGAGCGGCAGCGCGGGGCAACCUGGCGGCGAGCGGCGAACGGGUGAGUAAUGCAUCGGAACAUGUCCAUGUCGUGGGGGAUAGCCCGGCGAAAGCCGGAUUAAUACCGCAUACGCCCGAGAGGGGAAAGUGGGGGACCGCAAGGCCUCACGCGAUUGGGUUGGCCGAUGUCCGAUUAGCUUGUUGGUGAGGUAAAGGCUUACCAAGGCGAUGAUCGGUAGCUGGUCUGAGAGGAUGAUCAGCCACACUGGGACUGAGACACGGCCCAGACUCCUACGGGAGGCAGCAGUGGGGAAUUUUGGACAAUGGGCGCAAGCCUGAUCCAGCCAUGCCGCGUGAGUGAAGAAGGCCUUCGGGUUGUAAAGCUCUUUCAGACGGAAAGAAAUCGGGCGCGUGAAUAGCGUGCCUGGAUGACGGUACUGUCAGAAGAAGCACCGGCUAACUACGU